rnacentral:rRNA from 1 species
UACGGGGGGGGCAAGCGUUGUUCGGAAUUACUGGGCGUAAAGGGCUCGUAGGCGGCCAACUAAGUCGGACGUGAAAUCCCCAGGCUCAACCUGGGAACUGCGUCCGAUACUGGAUGGCUUGAGUUUGGGAGAGGGAUGCGGAAUUCCACGUGUAGCAGUGAAAUGCGUAGAUAUGUGGAGGAACAUCGAUGGCGAAGGCAGCCCCCUGGGUUAACACUGACGCUCAUGCACGAAAGCGUGGGGAGCAAACAGG